rfam:Chryseobacterium sp. IHB B 17019, complete genome.
UCCUAGCCCCGAUAGAAACGACAUCCUUUUUUGUUGCGGGCGGAGCAAAGCGGAGACCGCAACAAAAAAGAUACAGUGGAUAGCGGGAAAAAGC